rnacentral:rRNA from 1 species
UACGGAGGGGGCAAGCGUUGUUCGGAAUUAUUGGGCGUAAAGAGCUCGUAGGCGGUCUGUCGCGUCGGAUGUGAAAAUCCAGGGCUCAACCCUGGACCUGCAUUCGAUACGGGCAGACUAGAGUUCGGCAGGGGAGACUGGAAUUCCUGGUGUAGCGGUGAAAUGCGCAGAUAUCAGGAGGAACACCGGUGGCGAAGGCGGGUCUCUGGGCCGAUACUGACGCUGAGGAGCGAAAGCGUGGGGAGCGAACAGG